UACGAAGGGGGCUAGCGUUGCUCGGAAUGACUGGGCGUAAAGGGCGCGUAGGCGGCUCACAGAGUCGGACGUGAAAUUCCUGGGCUUAACCUAGGGGCUGCGUUCGAUACCUGUGGACUAGAGUGGGGAAGAGGGUCGUGGAAUUCCCAGUGUAGAGGUGAAAUUCGUAGAUAUUGGGAAGAACACCGGUGGCGUAGGCGGCGACCUGGUCCUUUACUGACGCUGAGGCGCGAAAGCGUGGGGAGCAAACAGG
rnacentral:rRNA from 1 species